rnacentral:rRNA from 1 species
AGCGAACGCUGGCGGCGUGCCUAACACAUGCAAGUCGAACGUGAACGGGAGCAAUCCCAAGUAAAGUGGCGUACGGGUGAGUAACACGUAGGUAAUCUACCCCAGAAUCUGGAAUAACCGGCCGAAAGGCUGGCUAAUACUGGAUAGAGCGACGGAAUCCGUACUUGGGUUUUUCGGGAAAGGUAGCCUGUAAAAAGGCCUUCGUUCUGGGAUGAGCCUGCGUCCGAUCAGCUAGUUGGUGAGGUAAAAGCUUACCAAGGCAAUGACGGGUAGCUGGUCUGAGAGGACGAACCGCCACACUGGGACUGGAAAACGGGCCAAACUCCUAAGGGGAGGAGCAGGGGGGAAACUUGCGCAAUGGGCGGAAGUCUGACGCAAGAACGCCGGCUGAGUGAAGAAGGCCUUCGGGUUGGAAAGCUCUGUCGGGUGGGACGAAAAUGCUUGAGGUUAACAGCUCGAGGAACUGACGGUACCAAUAAAAGAAGCACCGGCUAACUCCGUG